rnacentral:rRNA from 1 species
CGUACCCCAAACCGACACAGGUGGACAGGUAGAGCAUACCAAGGCGCUUGAGAGAACGAUGUUGAAGGAACUCGGCAAAAUACCUGCGUAACUUCGGGAGAAGCAGGCCCCGUUGGUGGGCAACCAUCGGCGGGGGGCACAAACCAGGGGGUAGCGACUGUUUACUAAAAACACAGGGCUCUGCGAAGUCGCAAGACGACGUAUAGGGUCUGACGCCUGCCCGGUGCCGGAAGGUUAAUUGAUGGGGUU